rnacentral:rRNA from 1 species
CGCCGCGUGAGGGAAGACGGUCUUCGGAUUGUAAACCUCUGUUGCAGGGGAAGAAUAAAGUGACGGUACCCUGUUGGAAGGCCCCGGCAAACUACGUGCCGGCGGCCGCGGUAACCCGUGGGGGGCGGGCGUUGUCCGGAAUUACUGGGCGUAADGCGCGCGUAGGCGGUGAUUCAAGUCGGUUGUAAAAGGCACGGGCUUAACCUGUGUAUGCAUCCGAAACUGAGUAACUGGAGGAGUAGAGAGGCAAGUGGAAUUCCCGGUGUAGCGGUGAAAUGCGUVGAUAUCGGGAAGAACNCCAGUGGCGAAGGCBACUUGCUNGCUMCAUCCUGACGACUGAGGUGCGAAAGCCAGGGGCGCGAACCGGAUU